rnacentral:rRNA from 1 species
GAUGAACGCUGGUGGCGUGCCUAAUACAUGCAAGUCGAGCGAACGGACGAGAAGCUUGCUUCUCUGAUGUUAGCGGCGGACGGGUGAGUAACACGUGGAUAACCUACCUAUAAGACUGGGAUAACUUCGGGAAACCGGAGCUAAUACCGGAUAAUAUUUUGAACCGCAUGGUUCAAAAGUGAAAGACGGUCUUGCUGUCACUUAUAGAUGGAUCCGCGCUGCAUUAGCUAGUUGGUAAGGUAACGGCUUACCAAGGCAACGAUGCGUAGCCGACCUGAGAGGGUGAUCGGCCACACUGGAACUGAGACACGGUCCAGACUCCUACGGGAGGCAGCAGUAGGGAAUCUUCCGCAAUGGGCGAAAGCCUGACGGAGCAACGCCGCGUGAGUGAUGAAGGUCUUCGGAUCGUAAAACUCUGUUAUUAGGGAAGAACAUAUGUGUAAGUAACUGUGCACAUCUUGACGGUACCUAAUCAGAAAGCCACGGCUAACUACGUG